ACUAGUGAUUAGAGUUUGAUCAUGGCUCAGGACGAACGCUGGCGGCGUGCUUAACACAUGCAAGUCGAGCGGUAAGGCCUUUCGGGGUACACGAGCGGCGAACGGGUGAGUAACACGUGGGUGAUCUGCCCUGCACUUCGGGAUAAGCCUGGGAAACUGGGUCUAAUACCGGAUAUGACCUCCUAUCGCAUGGUGGGUGGUGGAAAGAUUUAUCGGUGCAGGAUGGGCCCGCGGCCUAUCAGCUUGUUGGUGGGGUAAUGGCCUACCAAGGCGACGACGGGUAGCCGACCUGAGAGGGUGACCGGCCACACUGGGACUGAGACACGGCCCAGACUCCUACGGGAGGCAGCAGUGGGGAAUAUUGCACAAUGGGCGAAAGCCUGAUGCAGCGACGCCGCGUGAGGGAUGACGGCCUUCGGGUUGUAAACCUCUUUCAGCAGGGACGAAGCGCAAGUGACGGUACCUGCAGAAGAAGCACCGGCUAACUACGUGCCAGCAGCCGCGGUAAUACGUAGGGUGCAAGCGUUGUCCGGAAUUACUGGGCGUAAAGAGUUCGUAGGCGGUUUGUCGCGUCGUUUGUGAAAACCAGCAGCUCAACUGCUGGCUUGCAGGCGAUACGGGCAGACUUGAGUACUGCAGGGGAGACUGGAAUUCCUGGUGUAGCGGUGAAAUGCGCAGAUAUCAGGAGGAACACCGGUGGCGAAGGCGGGUCUCUGGGCAGUAACUGACGCUGAGGAACGAAAGCGUGGGUAGCG
rnacentral:rRNA from 1 species